CUGGGAAACAAGAGCGAAACUCCAUCCUAAAAAAAAAAUGACAGAUGGCCCAGCCUCAGCAGCAGGGACUAAGAAGUGAUGGGCACUGUGCAAAGAGGACCCACGUCCUUCUGCAGGGGGCCACUGUCCCUCAGCUUUUGCUGAUGGGGGUGGAAAGCAAACGUGUGGGAUCAACAAGCCCGGACCUUUGCUUUGAAGAGAAACCAAAAAGCCAGAUGUGUGUGUGAAAUAUUCCAAUAGCCCUUAAUGUUGUGUCCCAUGUGGCUCCCAAGCCACAAGUGACAACUGAGGACCUCUUACAAGGUAAUCUGCCCAGUUUUAGGGUAGGUGCUCUGUGAUUGCAAUUCGGAAUUGCUGGAGGCAUGUAAAACCAUAAACCAGGAGAUUGCAGAUGCACAAAAAAGGAAAACAAAACACACAAACACACACACACACACUUCCAAGUGAGUAGAGGGUCUGGUUGGGAGGGUGUGCCUGGCGCCUGAGUGUGCACACAUACGCUCUCCCGGGUGAACGUGAUCCUUCCCCUGAAGCACAGACAGCAGUCUUCUGCAGGGAACAUGGCUAUUUUCCCCACCAUAUCAGAACUUGUUUCUCUUUCCACCAAUGCCAAAUUGCCUUAAAGCAGCUGAGGAGUGCCUGGCUGAUUUAUGCCUCAACAACCAGGGCUUCUGGACACGUUCUUCCUUUCUGACCCUGGUCCUAUGAUUUGUGAAAGAGCUCUGUAACUGACAGCGCUUCUCUUUCUCUGUCAGGGCAACAAAGUGCAGGGAAGAGUCUAGAAGCUGCUUUCUGCCUCCCAAGGCAUCAGAAGUCAACGCUCCUGGGACUGUUCCCACUGGGAAUGAUGCAACGCAGGGUCAGGAUUCCCUGGGUGAGGAUAAAUCCUGCAGCCUCAGAUCUGCAGCCCCGCUAGCCAGGGUACCAGGUGAAGCCAGAGGAUGAGGACCAAGAAGACCAAGAGGCAGGGUGAACUACUUUCUCAAGUUCAGAGCAAAGGGACGUGAAAAACAUGACCAUCUCCAACCACACAGAGACCUCAAGCCCAGCACAGAAGUGGUUCAUCAGGAGACCUGGCAAGAUGAGAGGCUAACAGCCCAUCUGUCUUCCUUCCCCACGGCCUGUGUCUGGGAAGAUCCCUCUCCCUGCCAACUGCCAAGCUCCAGACCUUAUUCUGCCAUGAGCUCUCUGUGCAACCCGAGGCAAAAUACGAAGUGAGAUGGAGAGAGGAACUCCUACCACCUAGUAAAAGGAUUUCUUUUCCUCCCCUAAGUGACCGUGACAAGGUAGGAUUGGAGUACACUUUCCUCCCCACUUCCUUCCCACGGCAAUAACACACAGUCAAAACCCAUGUGAGCCAGGAUGGCAGCUCCAGCUAGAUUGUCCCGGAAGGACCACACUCUCUGGGAAUCUAUCUUGGAAUGGAUGUCGAGUUGCUGGCAGAUAGAAAUUCUGCCGCAAGCAAGGGCUCAGCCAGUGGAGAGGAGAAAUGACAAGCCGCAGGACUGGCUGGUGCAUCUGAGGAAAGCACCACGGGAAGGGAAGGGAGGGUCCGGUGGGCACAAGGUGAAGAAGGCCAAGAGGAGAUCAGAGUCUGGGAGAGAAUCACUGAAAGGUUCAGUAAGACAAAUGAAGGCCGUUACCGCCCACUUCUUUUGUUUACCCAAAGCACCAAAGACUGCUGGGACCUCAUCAUAGGGCUGUUAAGCAUCAAUAACAACUGUAGGGGGAGUGUGGGGAGGGGGUUAGGAAAAAUGAAACCUUUAUGUACCCACAAAAAAAAAUUUCAAAAAAUUCAAAAAUAAAAUAAUAACCAUAGUAUAUACAUCAAUAAAACCUUGGGCCCUAUGCAAUCUCUUAAGCAAUCCUGAGUUUACAGCUGUAGGGAUUUGGUGGGGUUUUUGGUUUGUAGGAACUUUUCUCGGAGUUUUUUUCUUUUUGCCAGCAAACUGUAAGUUCCUUGGGCAAGCUCAAGGCCAUAGUCCUAUAUGAUGAAUAAUGUUCAACAUAUAUAUCAUAGCUCAAUGCAUGUUAACUAUGCCCUGCACUUACCCAAAAAACUGGCAUGACACAUCUUUAGAGGAAAAAAGAAAAAAGCAUGUAACUCUCGUAACAAUUUGAUGUCAAAACGAAGCGCGCGCGCGCACACACACACACACACACACACACACCAGUUCGUGAUAUUGUGCAUGAAUAAACUGCAUGUAAGCUCUGAAGUGUCCCCAUGUGGCAGAAGAAAAAAAAACUGUCGUUCUAUUCUAGA